UUCGCCCUUAGAGUUUGAUCCUGGCUCAGGACGAACGCUGGCGGCACGCUUAACACAUGCAAGUCGAACGAGAGAAGAGAAGCUUGCUUUUCUGAUCUAGUGGCGGACGGGUGAGUAACACGUGAGCAAUCUGCCUUUCAGAGGGGGAUACCGAUUGGAAACGAUCGUUAAUACCGCAUAAUAUAAUUGAACCGCAUGAUUUGAUUAUCAAAGAUUUAUCGCUGAAAGAUGAGCUCGCGUCUGAUUAGCUAGUUGGUAAGGUAACGGCUUACCAAGGCGACGAUCAGUAGCCGGACUGAGAGGUUGAUCGGCCACAUUGGGACUGAGACACGGCCCAGACUCCUACGGGAGGCAGCAGUGGGGAAUAUUGCACAAUGGAGGAAACUCUGAUGCAGCGAUGCCGCGUGAGGGAAGAAGGUUUUAGGAUUGUAAACCUCUGUCUUCAGGGACGAAAAAAGACGGUACCUGAGGAGGAAGCUCCGGCUAACUACGUGCCAGCAGCCGCGGUAAUACGUAGGGAGCGAGCGUUGUCCGGAAUUACUGGGUGUAAAGGGAGCGUAGGCGGGAUCGCAAGUCAGAUGUGAAAACUAUGGGCUUAACCCAUAAACUGCAUUUGAAACUGUGGUUCUUGAGUGAAGUAGAGGUAAGCGGAAUUCCUAGUGUAGUGGUGAAAUGCGCAGAUAUUAGGAGGAACAUCAGUGGCGAAGGCGGCUUACUGGGCUUUAACUGACGCUGAGGCUCGAAAGCGUGGGGAGCAAACAGGAUUAGAUACCCUGGUAGUCCACGCCGUAAACGAUGAUUACUAGGUGUGGGGGGACUGACCCCUUCCGUGCCGCAGCAAACGCAAUAAGUAAUCCACCUGGGGAGUACGACCGCAAGGUUGAAACUCAAAGGAAUUGACGGGGGCCCGCACAAGCAGUGGAGUAUGUGGAUUAAUUCGAAGCAACGCGAAGAACCUUACCAGGUCUUGACAUCGUAUGCAUAGCUCAGAGAUGAGUGAAAUCUCUUCGGAGACAUAUAGACAGGUGGUGCAUGGUUGUCGUCAGCUCGUGUCGUGAGAUGUUGGGUUAAGUCCCGCAACGAGCGCAACCCUUACUGUUAGUUGCUACGCAAGAGCACUCUAGCAGGACUGCCGUUGACAAAACGGAGGAAGGUGGGGAUGACGUCAAAUCAUCAUGCCCCUUAUGACCUGGGCCUCACACGUACUACAAUGGCUGUUAACAGAGGGAUGCAAAGCCGCGAGGUGGAGCGAACCCCUAAAAGCAGUCUUAGUUCGGAUUGUAGGCUGCAACCCGCCUACAUGAAGUCGGAAUUGCUAGUAAUCGCAGAUCAGCAUGCUGCGGUGAAUACGUUCCCGGGCCUUGCACUCACCGCCCGUCA
rnacentral:rRNA from 1 species